GCCCACGUUAUUCCUAACAUGGGUAUAAACCUCCACAGCAAGUCUCGUCUAUGAGCUCAUCUUGGAUCUAAAGCUCAGAGCUUUAAGCAGGCUGUCAGAACAUAAACCUUCAACUUUAUGGUUCCGAGGUCUAUGUCAUCUUAACUUGAUAUGCAGAAAUUUUCUCCUUAUUACAUCGAAAUGUAUCUUUAAAAUCUUCCGACUCAAUGACUCUGGGGAUACGGUGUUGUGUGGAACUGUGAGAGGCAGAGGCCAAACCCCUUGAAGACUUUCUGGAACACAAUUUCCCAAGUCAGUUUUUGAAAAGCCUACCUAUACCUGUCAUGUUUUUUCGGAUGCUUUGACUUCAGCACAAUGCAAUUUGGAUUUUCUGUAGUUUACCUGAUUGUUACAGCGGCAGAAGCAGAUCUGGGUGUCCUCUCAUAGAAAAUAGUGAAGGCGAAUAAAUCUAUGCAUUCAUUUCCAUUGCUGUUUCACAACG